UACGUAGGCAGCAAGCGUUGUUCGGAGUUACUGGGCGUAAAGGGUGCGUAGGCGGCUUUUUAAGUUUGGUGUGAAAUCUCCCGGCUCAACUGGGAGGGUGCGCCGAAUACUGAGAAGCUAGAGUGUGGGAGAGGAAAGUGGAAUUCCUGGUGUAGCGGUGAAAUGCGUAGAUAUCAGGAGGAACACCGGUGGUGUAAACGCUUUCUGGACCAUAACUGACGCUGAGGUGCGAAAGCGUGGGGAGCAAACAGG
rnacentral:rRNA from 1 species